UACGUAGGGGGCAAGCGUUGUCCGGAAUCAUUGGGCGUAAAGUGCGUGUAGGCGGCUCGGUAAGUCCGCUGUAAAAGUCCAGGGCUCAACCCUGGAAAGCCGGUGGAAACUGUCGAGCUAGAGUCCGGAAGAGGCGAGUGGAAUUCCUGGUGUAGCGGUGAAAUGCGCAGAUAUCAGGAGGAACACCAAUGGCGAAGGCAGCUCGCUGGGACGGUACUGACGCUGAGACGCGAAAGCGUGGGGAGCAAACAGG
rnacentral:rRNA from 1 species